UAACAUAUAAAUGGAGAAGUCUUGGAACUUGGGUGGUUAAGGUUAUAUUUCAAUUGUGUCAUCUGAUGGUCACUACUGUUUGAUUUGUAGAAUAUGUAACAGAUUUCUAUCUACCAUGGUCUAGGUAUAAAGGUGGACCAGCAUUACCGAGGAAGUUGAUCUCGCAGGGUGCUGCAUUGAGGCAAUAUAGUGUUGAGGUUUACCCACUCAUUUUGAAGUUGACUGAUGCUAGAGAUAACAGUGUGUCAGCUAUAAAAUUAAGCAAAAAGGCGAACAUAAGGGAACUAUAUGAACUGGUGUGUAAAAUCAAAGGAGUAGAACAAAAAAAGGCGAACAUAAGGGAACUAUAUGAACUGGUGUGUAAAAUCAAAGGAGUAGAACAAAAAAAGGUGCUUAU